rnacentral:rRNA from 1 species
UACGAAGGGGGCUAGCGUUGCUCGGAAUUACUGGGCGUAAAGCGCACGUAGGCGGUCUUUUAAGUCGGUGGUGAAAUCCUGGAGCUCAACUCCAGAACUGCCUUCGAUACUGGAAGACUUGAGUCCGGGAGAGGUGAGUGGAACUGCGAGUGUAGAGGUGAAAUUCGUAGAUAUUCGCAAGAACACCAGUGGCGAAGGCGGCGCACUGGCCCGGUACUGACGCUGAGGCGCGAAAGGGUGGGGAGCAAACAGG